AUUUAUAUAGUUUAAAAUAAAACAUUAUAUUUUCAAUAUAAAAAUAAAAUAUAUCUUUUUAUAAAUA
rnacentral:tRNA from 1 species